GUGCCAGCAGCCGCGCGGUAAUACGUAGGUCCCGAGCGUUGCGCGAAUUCACUGGGCGUAAAGCGUCCGCAGCCGGAUGGGUAAGCGGUUUGUCAAAGCCCACCGCUCAACGGUGGAAAGGCAUACCGAACUGCCCAUCUUGAGGCACGCUCAGGUAGGCGGAAUUCCCGGUGUAGCAGUGAAAUGCGUAGAUAUCGGGAGGAACACCGGUGGCGAAGGCGGCCUACUGGGGCUGUCCUGACGGUCAGGGACGAAAGCUGGGGGAGCGAACCGGAUUAGAUACCCGGGUAGUCCCAGCCGUAAACCAUGGGCGCUAGGCGUUGUCCGCAAGGGCAGUGCCUCAGCUAACGCGGUAAGCGCCCCGCCUGGGGAGUACGGGCGCAAGCCUGAAACUCAAAGGAAUUGGCGGGGGCCCGCACAACCGGUGGAGCGUCUGGUUCAAUUCGAUGCUAACCGAAAAACCUUACCCGGGCUUGACAUGGUAGGAAACCCUUGCGAAAGCGAGGGGUGCCGUCCUCUGGACGGAAUCCUACCACAGGUGGUGCAUGGCCGUCGUCAGCUCGUGUCGUGAGAUGUUGGGUUAAGUCCCGCAACGAGCGCAACCCCUGCCCUU
rnacentral:rRNA from 1 species